GAUGAACGCUGGCGGCGUGCCUAAUACAUGCAAGUCGAGCGAAUGGAUUAAGAGCUUGCUCUUAUGAAGUUAGCGGCGGACGGGUGAGUAACACGUGGGUAACCUGCCCAUAAGACUGGGAUAACUCCGGGAAACCGGGGCUAAUACCGGAUAACAUUUUGAACCGCAUGGUUCGAAAUUGAAAGGCGGCUUCGGCUGUCACUUAUGGAUGGACCCGCGUCGCAUUAGGUAGUUGGUGAGGUAACGGCUCACCAAGGCAACGAUGCGUAGCCGACCAGAGGGGGUGAUCGGCCAGACUGGGACUGAAACACGGCCCAGACUCCUACGGGAUGCAGCAGUAGGGAAUCGUCCGCAAUGGACGAAAGUCUGACGGAGCAACGCCGCGUGAGUGAUGAGGGCUUUCGGGUCGUAAAACUCUGUUGUUAGGGAAGAACAAGUGCUAGUUGAAUAAGCUGGCACCUUGACGGUACCUAACCAGAAAGCCACGGCUAAUUACGUGCCAGCCGCCGCCGUAA
rnacentral:rRNA from 1 species